rnacentral:tRNA from 1 species
GCUGAGGUGGUGGAACGGCAGACACGCAGGUCUCAGAAGCCUGUACCCAAAAAAGGGUGGUAGGGGUUCAAAUCCCCUCCUCAGCA